rnacentral:rRNA from 1 species
CGUAACAAGGUUUCCGUAGGUGAACCUGCGGAAGGAUCAUUACCGAGUGAGGGCCCUCUGGGUCCAACCUCCCACCCGUGUCUAUCGUACCUUGUUGCUUCGGCGGGCCCGCCGUUUCGACGGCCGCCGGGGAGGCCUUGCGCCCCCGGGCCCGCGCCCGCCGAAGACCCCAACAUGAACGCUGUUCUGAAAGUAUGCAGUCUGAGUUGAUUAUCGUAAUCAGUUAAAACUUUCAACAACGGAUCUCUUGGUUCCGGCAUCGAUGAAGAACGCAGCGAAAUGCGAUAAGUAAUGUGAAUUGCAGAAUUCAGUGAAUCAUCGAGUCUUUGAACGCACAUUGCGCCCCCUGGUAUUCCGGGGGGCAUGCCUGUCCGAGCGUCAUUGCUGCCCUCAAGCACGGCUUGUGUGUUGGGCCCCCGUCCCCCUCUCCCGGGGGACGGGCCCGAAAGGCAGCGGCGGCACCGCGUCCGGUCCUCGAGCGUAUGGGGCUUUGUCACCUGCUCUGUAGGCCCGGCCGGCGCCAGCCGACACCCAA